UGUCGGACUGUCGGGAGCGAUUUACCGGCUUACAAUUAAUGCUGUAUCAAAACAGCAGUGCAAAGCCCCGUGAAAUGUAGAUUGUGGUCGGGGAGAAGAACAGUUUUCCACAGUUAAACUAUAAUAUUUGGAUUGCACAGUCUGGAAUAAAUUGUUGGUGAUGUGGUACUACACAAGCUGCGCUGCUCAUCAGUUUGAACAGUUGAUUGCAGUUUUUCCACUACUGAAUUUGAAAAGGCCCUUUGUCAAGAGAAAAAUCCAAUCUAAGCCGAAAAAUUGAGACAGGCGCCAGCCAAUCCUUUCUGGAAUUUUGCUAUGGACAUUUUUCAAAUGAACCUCAAUGUUAAGAAAGGAGAAGAAUCCCAAAAUAGAGCUUGAAGAACCAUCUACUACCGAUAUACCAAUAACCAACGGAACUUAUUCCAUGCGCUCCAAGACGGCGUUAUUAUGGCGUGCUCUUGGCUUGCAGACUCAUGGCAAUUUACGACGGUUCUGGUGGAGUCAUCAAGAAGGAAAGCAGUGGUAACCCUCACCAAAUCAGAAUCCUUCACCAACCGACAUCAUUUUCAAGUUUGACAUAGAUGGACGGCAUCUGUUUGCGAUAUGACAACACUUAAGAUGAAGAAUUUAGCCCUAACUGUUGAUGUGGAGUUGGUGGUAAUUUGCUGCCAUCCCCUUUCGUGAUGUUUUCAAUGUCAAAACAGGCUGAUGAAUUCUGAGCUUCUUUGUGUCAGUCCAAUGUGCUAUAUGCAGAUGGGUUUGUUGCAGCCAGCCAGUGAUAGGUGCUCUUCUUGCUACCUGUACCAGCUGUAUGUUUCAUAUCGUAAAAAACACUGAACAGAAUGAACUGAACUUUAGAAGAAUGAAGGUUUAUAUGUUCGCGUUGUUGCUGUUCGCUGUGGUACGUUGUGUCAGUCUCUGCUGGUGAUCGAUCUUUCUGCAUCAAAUUCAAUUAGCCGUUCCUUGGUGCUGGACUACUGGUGUCGUGUUACCGAAAUUGCAACAUUAAUUUGUUAAAUUGUUAUCGUGACUGUAGUUUACCGUUAAUAAGUUAAGAAGCAACAAAAACAAAUAUGGGAUGUUUAUGUCAACAAAUAAUAAACAUGUUUUUGGGAUUGGGAAAGUAAAGUGGAGGAUGUUGGAGAGGGGGAGGAUAUUUCAAGUUUGGAU